rnacentral:rRNA from 1 species
GACGAACGCUGGCGGCGUGCCUAACACAUGCAAGUCGAGCGAAUGAAGUUCCUUCGGGAACGGAUUUAGCGGCGGACGGGUGAGUAACACGUGGGCAACCUGCCUCAUAGAGGGGAAUAGCCUUCCGAAAGGGAGAUUAAUACCGCAUAAGAUUGUAAUAUCGCAUGGUACAGCAAUUAAAGGAGCAAUCCGCUAUGAGAUGGGCCCGCGGCGCAUUAGCUAGUUGGUGAGGUAACGGCUCACCAAGGCGACGAUGCGUAGCCGACCUGAGAGGGUGAUCGGCCACAUUGGGACUGAGACACGGCCCAGACUCCUACGGGAGGCAGCAGUGGGGAAUAUUGCACAAUGGGGGAAACCCUGAUGCAGCAACGCCGCGUGAGUGAUGACGGCCUUCGGGUUGUAAAGCUCUGUCUUCAGGGACGAUAAUGACGGUACCUGAGGAGGAAGCCACGGCUAACUACGUGCCAGCCGCCGCGGUAA